UACGUAGGGGGCGAGCGUUGUCCGAAGUUACUGGGCGUAAAGCGCGCGUAGGCGGUUUCUUAAGUCUGGUGUGAAAGGUUCAGGGCUCAACCCGAACAGUGCACUGGAUACUGGGAGACUUGAGUAUGGGAGAGGAGAGCGGAAUUCCUGGUGUAGCGGUGAAAUGCGCAGAUAUCGGGAGGAACACCAGUGGCGAAGGCGGCGCUCUGGGCCGGAACUGACGCUGAGGAGCGAAAAGCAUGGGGAGCGAACAGG
rnacentral:rRNA from 1 species